AGUGUAGUGAUACAUUGAGCUAACAGAUACUAAUUGCCCGAGAGGCUUAACUAUACAACGCUCAAG
rnacentral:rRNA from 1 species